UUGACGGGACCGCACAAGCGGUGGAUGAUGUGGAUUAAUUCGAUGCAACGCGAAAACCUUACCUACCCUUGACAUGUCUGGAACCUUGCUGAGAGGCGAGGGUGCCUUCGGGAGCCAGAACACAGGUGCUGCAUGGCUGUCGUCAGCUCGUGUCGUGAGAUGUUGGGUUAAGUCCCGCAACGAGCGCAACCCUUGUCAUUAGUUGCCAUCAUUUAGUUGGGCACUCUAAUGAGACUGCCGGUGACAAACCGGAGGAAGGUGGGGAUGACGUCAAGUCCUCAUGGCCCUUAUGGGUAGGGCUUCACACGUCAUACAAUGGUCGGUACAGAGGGUUGCCAAGCCGCGAGGUGGAGCCAAUCCCUUAAAGCCGAUCGUAGUCCGGAUCGUAGUCUGCAACUCGACUACGUGAAGUCGGAAUCGCUAGUAAUCGUGAAUCAGAAUGUCACGGUGAAUACGUUCCCGGGCCUU
rnacentral:rRNA from 1 species